CCAUAGACAUACAUACUGUACAGAAUGUGCACUAUAUUAUUGAAAUAUACACUACCGGUCAAAAGUUUUAGAACACCCCCAUUUUUCCAGUUUUUAUUGAAACAUAAGCAGUUCAAGUCCAGUGAAUAACCUGAAAUGGUAAGAAGUACACUUCCAGAGGUAAUUUUUUAAAGAGUUUAGGUUACCAAAAACAGAAAAAUAAUGUACAUUUUAGAGUUAUAAGAAAGGGCCUUUUUCAGGGAAAAGGUCAUGGGUUAACAACAUACAGCUGUUCUGGAGCAAUGGAAGUAAAUUAAGCCUUGAAAGUUGAUGCUCACGUUUCCUACAGGUGUCCCAACUUUUGUUGAUUACUUACCAACCCUCUGUCUGGAUAACAGCAGUGUUGGAACAUACUGUGUUACUACACACUCUUCAGCAUUAUUUGGACAGUAUUGUACUGCAGGAAGUAGUAUAUUGCUAUCAUAAUGUUGAGGGAAAAUGCAAUUAACAAAAUACAGACCAUUAUAACCCUUAAAAGUGUAGGUCUUUCCUUUAGAGAAAUUGCAAAGAAAGCCAAGGUGUCAGUGAGUACAGUUUCCUACACCAUCAAAAGGCAAUUGGAAACUGGAGGAAAUUCUGACAGGAAGAGGACUGGCAGACCCAAAACCACAACAGAAUCAGAACACAAGUUUCUGAGAGUCAACAGCUUGCGUGACAGGCGGCUCACAGGACAACAGCUUCAAGCACCUCUUAACACUGGUCGAUGUAAGCAAGUCUCAGUUUCAACUGUGAAGAGAAGACUUCGAGCUGCAGGUUUGACCGGUGGAGAGGCAGUAAGAAAGCCACUGCUAAGAUGGCAAAAUGAGAAGAGGCUUAAAUUGACUGGUUCAGUUGUCUUUCAUUUCAGUCACUCUUAUCCUGAAGACAGUACAUGCAGGAUUUGGGAAUCAAAUAUCUACACACUUCAGCCGUGGCCGUUCUUCAGUGAGCCACAUUGUCACCCAUGAUUACAACACAGAGACUGGGAAUAACAACAUCGCCCUCAUUAGACUCAUUAAACCAUUGCAGAUUAAUGAUCAAAUAAGGCCUGUGUGUUUGCCCAAUGUCGGGCUGGACUUCACUGCUCCCCAGACAUUCUGGAUUUCGGGGUUUUGCAGCACAGUUUCUAGUGGACUCAGUAUGGUGGCUGGUAGGGGACACAAGCUGGGGAGAUGUCUGUGCCGAGGAACAAACCAGGCAUCUAUGGAAACGUUGCCUUCUUCCUAGGCUGGAUCUAUGAACAAAUGCAGAAAUAAAGAAACUGAGAAAUCACUGGUGGACAAUCAGAAUGAAAUGGUGGAAACAUUGUAUUUUUUUCUGAAUAGAAAAGCCAGAAAGAGAUGUUUGUACGUACAGUGUGUCAUCAGAAAUUCUGAUGUUAUGUGCUACAUAUUGAAUUUGUCCUCAUUUGUAUGUAUGUGUUCAUUAAAUGACUACUUCUACA